UACGUAGGGUGCGAGCGUUGGCCGGAAUUAUUGGGCGUAAAGAGCUUGUAGGCGGGCUGUCGCGUCUGCUGUGAAAAUCCGGGGCUCAACCCCGGACUUGCAGUGGGUACGGGCAGACUAGAGUGUGGUAGGGGAGACUGGAAUUCCUGGUGUAGCGGUGAAAUGCGCAGAUAUCAGGAGGAACACCGGUGGCGAAGGCGGGUCUCUGGGCCGAUACUGACGCUGAGGAGCGAAAGCGUGGGGAGCGAACAGG
rnacentral:rRNA from 1 species